UAGGUAUCUGCAAUUUUUGGAUAAGUUAAUCUUACGAUAGUUUCAUAUUUUUUCUCUUUCUUUUUUCUGGGUUUUCAGUUGUAGCAAAGUGUGGUGCUUGGUUUAUGGCUGAUUGAUGAUUCUUUGGGGUUGUUAAGCCCCAUUUGAUUAAUUCUGUGUAGUUUGCUGUUUUUUUUUUUGUUUUUUUUAAUGGGGUUUCCCCUGUUGGGUUUGAAAGAAACGGAAUAGGUGGGAUUAGUAUGGGAUUUAGAUUGCUGAAAUUCCUUCUUUGAUUGAUAAGAGAGGUUGUAGCUUUGUUUUUUCUGUACUUGAAAGCCAGAUACAAAAGCUCAUAUUUAAUCUCAAUAUUCCCCCUGGUUCAUAAAAAAAUAAAAAGAAUUGUGGUGCUUGGUGAUUGAUGUUAAUAUAAAACAUGGAAUGAAUUCUGGGUUUUGUGCAAAGUAUUUAUAUGUUGGCUUCGUCUCCUGUUUUGAGAAGGCAACAGUUUUUGAUAAGAUCUCUUAGAGCAAAACACUAACAUCCAUCAUAAAAGAUUGCAAGGAUUUCACCAGUGGAGCCUCUUUAGAGGCUGAUGCUGUGAACUUCUGAGAGCAAUCACUAUGCCCUCUGUUCAUCUUUUCCAACAGAGUAAAAAAAAAUCCCAAGUGAAAAAUCUUAUGGGUUAGGUUGGGAUUUGAGACAGGGUUUGGUAUUUAUACCUCCCACUACAAAAUCCCACUCAAUUCCACAUUUUAAAAAAUUCUUUGAAAUUAGCAAGAUUUUGGAUACCAUAAAACCGUUUUUUAAUUGUUUAAAGUCUUGAUUGAAUACCACUAAAUUUGGCUAUUCUCUUUUUAAAAAUCCUAAUAGUCUUGAUGGAAUACCACAAAACUUAUUUAGAUCAUUUCAAAGUCUUAAUUGAAUACCUCACUUGUUUCUUCUUCCUUUUGUUUUGCGUGUAGCAGAAAAUAUGGUGUGUCCAAUUGAUUCUGAAAUUGGGGAAGCCUUCGCCCCGUUUUCAAUAUCCAGCCAACGAGGCCAAAAAAUUAUUCACCAAAGCCCAUUUCAGGGCAAUAAGAAUAACAAAGGACUCGGCCCCCCAAGAGCUUCACGCGACAGUGGUUCUUCUUCAAUACUGGAUCGCUAAGAUCUUCAACUUGUGACAAAAGCUGGCACGUUAGACUCAAAAUAGCUUGCCUGAGAAAAAGAAGAUU